rnacentral:rRNA from 1 species
ACUAAAAACCUAGCCCCACCACAAACAUUUUUUCCCCCCAUAUUUUUAUUAAAAAAAUAAAACAUUCUAAUAAUUUAGUAAAGGCGAUAAAAAAAUUAAUCGGCGCCAUAAAAAUAGUACCGCAAGGGAAAGGUGAAAUAAAAAUGAAAUAAGGAUUAAGUAGAAAAAAGUAGAGAUUUAAUCUUGUACCUUUUGCAUCAUGGUUUAACCAGUCUUAAUUAAGCAAAACGAAUUUAAGUUUAAGCCCCCGAAACUAGACGAGCUACUACAAGGCAGUUUAAUGAACUAACCCGUCUCUGUCGCAAAAGAGUGGGAUGACCUUCAAGUAGAGGUGAUAUACCAAACGAGUCUAGUGAUAGCUGGUUACCCAGUAAAAGAAUUUUAGUUCUACCUAAAGCUUACCAAAUAUACACAAAUAUAAUAUCUGCUUUAGAGUUAUUCAAAUAAGGCACAGCCUAUUUGAAACAGGACACAACCUAGAAUAAUGGGUAAUUUUUAUAAAAACAUUAAAGUGGGCCUAAAAGCAGCCACCUUUAAAAUAGCGUCAAAGCCUAAAUAAAAACCCUCACUCAAUUUCAUAAACAAUUCAAAACCCUUAAUUCACACCGGGUAAUUCCAUACCUUUAUGGAACAUAUUAUGUUAAAACUAGUAACAAGAAGCAAGUCCUUCUCUUUAAUGCAAGCAUAAGCCAGCAAGGACAACCCACUGUCAAUUAACACACAUGAACUCUAAGUAGCAACACAACAAGAAAAUCCUACUUAACAACUUAAUGUUAACCUAACACAAGAGCAUUACAAGAAAGAUUAAAAAAAAAAGAAGGAACUCGGCAAACAUUAACCCCGCCUGUUUACCAAAAACAUCGCCUCUUGCUUACAUAUAAGAGGUCCAGCCUGCCCAGUGACUUAGUUCAACGGCCGCGGUAUCCUAACCGUGCGAAGGUAGCGUAAUCACUUGUUCUUUAAAUGAGGACUAGUAUGAAUGGCACCACGAGGGUUAAACUGUCUCCUUUUUUUGAUCAGUGAAACUAAUCUCCCCGUGAAAAAGCGGGGAUACUUAUAUAAGACGAGAAGACCCUAUGGAGCUUUAAACAAACUAACAUCCGCUACCACUUAAUUACUUUCAGAACUACAACAAAAAACAUAGCAAUUUGAUUAUAAGUUUUCGAUUGGGGUGAUCACGGAGUAAAAAACAACCUCCACGACGAACGGACUAAACUCCUUAACAAAAAGCUACAGCUUUAUGCAUUAAUAUAUUAACGCCUUUGACCCAUUAUUUGAUCAACGAACCAAGUUACCCUAGGGAUAACAGCGCAAUCUACUUCGAGAGCCCCUAUCGACAAGUGGGUUUACGACCUCGAUGUUGGAUCAGGGUACCCCAGUGGUGCAGCCGCUACUAACGGUUCGUUUGUUCAACGAUUAAAACCCU